rnacentral:rRNA from 1 species
CCUACGGGGGGCAGCAGUGGGGGAUAUUGCACAAUGGGGGAAACCCUGAUGCAGCGACGCCGCGUGAGUGAAGAAGUAUUUCGGUAUGUAAAGCUCUAUCAGCAGGGAAGAAAAUGACAGUACCUGACUAAGAAGCCCCGGCUAACUACGUGCCAGCAGCCGCGGUAAUACGUAGGGGGCAAGCGUUAUCCGGAUUUACUGGGUGUAAAGGGAGCGUAGACGGUUAUGUAAGUCUGCAGUGAAAGCCCGGGGCCCAACCACGGGACUGCUUUGGAAACUGUGUAACUGGAGUGCAGGAGGGGCAGGCGGAAUUCCUGGUGUAGCGGUGAAAUGCGUAGAUAUCAGGAGGAACACCGGCGGCGAAGGCGGCCUGCUGGACUGAAACUGACGUUGAGGCUCGAAAGCGUGGGGAGCAAACAGGAUUAGAUACCCUGGUAGUC